rnacentral:rRNA from 1 species
CCUACGGGGGGCUGCAGUGGGGAAUUUUGGACAAUGGGCGAAAGCCUGAUCCAGCCAUGCCGCGUGAGUGAAGAAGGCCUUCGGGUUGUAAAGCUCUUUCGCAAGGAAAGAAAACUUAGCUACUAAUACUAGUUGAGGAUGACGGUACCUUGAUAAGAAGCACCGGCUAACUACGUGCCAGCAGCCGCGGUAAUACGUAGGGUGCGAGCGUUACUCGGAAUUAGUGGGCGUAAAUUGGUAGGAGGCGGUUGAAAUCCCCGGGCUCAACCUUGGAACUGCGUUUGAAACUACAAGGCUAGAGUGUAGAAGAGGGGGGUAGAAUUCCACGUGUAGCAGUGAAAUGCGUAGAGAUGUGGAGGAAUACCGAUGGCGAAGGCAGCCCCCUGGGCUAACACUGACGCUCAUGCACGAAAGCGUGGGGAGCAAACAGGAUUAGAUACCCCUGUAGUC